rnacentral:lncRNA from 1 species
AUUUACCUUCUAAAAAUUACUUCAGGGCUGUCAAUCAUUCCCUCGGAGAAUUCAUUCCCGGCCAAUGGACUCUGUGGACUUAGAAAAGAAGCACCACCACCAUUACCAUCACCACCCCCCUCCUCCUUCUCACCGCCGCCACCUCCCUCCUCCUCCUCCUCACCGCCGCCACCUCCCUCCUCCUCCUCACCACCACCAGCACCACCAUCAUCAAUUCUCUUACAUAUCUCCUCAUUGCCCACACCACAGUUAUCUUUUACGGCAAAGGAAUCACUCACAAUCCUGCCCUUUUUUCAUCAGCCGCUUCUCUGAACCAUUUGCUUUUGUUCAAUCUCAAACCCAUGCGAAUUNNNN